CCUACGGGGAGCAGCAGUAGGGAAUAUUGCUCAAUGGGGGAAACCCUGAAGCAGCAACGUCGCGUGGAGGAUGAAGGUUUUCGGAUUGUAAACUCCUUUUGUUAGAGAAGAUAAUGACGGUAUCUAACGAAUAAGCACCGGCCAACUCCGUGCCAGCAGCAGCGGUAAUACGGAGGGUGCAAGCGUUACUCGGAAUCACUGGGCGUAAAGGGCGAGUAGGCGGGAUUGCAAGUCAGAUGUGAAAACCUAUGGCUUAACCAUAGAACUGCAGUUGAAACUGGUAUUCUAGAGUAUGGGAGAGGUAGGUGGAAUUCGUGGGGUAGGGGUAAAAUCCGUAGAGAUCAAGAAGAAUACUCAUUGCGAAGGCAACCUGCUAGAACAUAACUGACGCUGAUGCGCGAAAGCGUGGGGAGCAAACAGGAUUAGAUACCCGGGUAGUC
rnacentral:rRNA from 1 species